rnacentral:tRNA from 1 species
AGGUCAUUAGUGUAAUGGCAGCAUACGGGAUUCCAAAUCCUUUGGUCCGAGUUCGAGUCUUGGAUGACCUGC